CUUGUGCACCAGGGGCCCCGAUCUCAUCAAGGGCAGCUUUGUAGUUCUCUGAGCUUUGGGGUCCCUAGACAGGGAGCCAGGCUGGAGAGACAGAACACAGAUGUUCUAGCCCCAGGCUGGUUACGUGUAAGGUGGCAUCACAGCGUGCUCCUGGGACACCCGACAGAUGUUUUUUGGAGCUGGCACCAAACUCUUCGUGGAGCCGCAACAACAACCUCCUGCCAAACCAUCUGUUUUUGUCAUGAGAAAUGGAACGAAUGUCGCUUGUCUGGUGAAGGAUUUCUAUCCCAAGACUGUAAAUAUUAGGCUCCAGUCAUCCAAUGUGAUAAAAGAAUAUGACCCGUCUGUCGUCCUCUCUCCCAGCGGGAAGUACAGUGCUGUGAAACUUGGUCAGUAUAAAGAUUCAGAUUCAGUGACCUGUUCUGUUCAACAUGACAAUAAGAUCGUGAAUUCCACUGACUUUGAACCAAAGACAAAUUCUUUAGAUACUGUUCCAGAUACUGUUUCGGAUAAUAGUCCAGAUAGUAUCCCAGAUAAUGUAAAACCAACCGGAUCUGAUAACACAAACCAUGUUUCUGUGAGCAUCCGUAAACUUAAAGUUCACCCCGAGAAGGUGAACAUGAUGUCUCUCUCAGUGCUGGGGCUCCGGAUCCUAUUUGUCAAAAGUGUCGCCAUCAAUAUUCUCUUGACUGCCAAGCUAUGCUUCUUUUAAGACUGACCUAUGGCAUAAGGAGGUCUCUCUGGAAGAACCAGAAGUCUGCAGAAGUGCUAUCUCCUAGGCUUCAACUUCCGGCUGAUUCAAGUCCACCUCUUCUAGUCUGGCUUCAAUGGCUGCUAACCAAGUCAACUUCUCUCUGAAGGCAACAAGCUCAACUCAUCCUCCAUCCGAAUAUAAAUUCAAAUGCCUUGCGAAUGUAGGCUUUGUACCGAAUUGCUUCAUAUGCUGCUUUUAAAAGGGAUGUAAAAGGGAUAUAUUCAUAUCAUGUGCUUUUAUAAAUGUAAAGGACUUUUUAAAAAUUUCUAAACUGAAGACUGAAAAGA